UCUGCGGUCCCCUUCCACGUGGCUUCCGGUUGGCAGUGCUUUCGGCCGCCGCUGCUGCUGUUUACGCUCUUCUCUCGUCUCGGCGACGUCGGGCUGAUCGGGCACCGCAGCAGCAGCUAUGGCGCUGAAACGUCGAACGGGCUCCAAGAACCCUCCCAUUUUCAGCCACGAGUUCGUCAUCCAGAAUCAUGCCGACAUCGUGUCCUGCGUGGCCAUGCUUUUCGUCAUGGGUCUCCUUUUCCAAGUUACCGCACCAUAUGCUUCGGUUUUCAUCGCUGUCCACCACAACACCACCGACGGCAUGGAGACGCAAGGUGUGGUGAACUACACGUACGGUGCCAAGGAUGUCUGCCUGACCUUCUUCUACUUCCUCAUUGCCAUCGUCAUGCAUGCCAUCAUCCAGGAAUACCUGCUUGACAAACUGAACCGCAAGAUGCACCUGUCCAAGAUGAAGCACAGCAAGUUCAACGAGUCGGGCCAGCUGCUCAUCUUCUGCCUCGCCUCUUUCCUCUGGGGGGCCGAGAUCAUCCGCAAGGAAGGAUAUCUUCCCAGCAUCAACAAGCUAUGGGAGGGCUACCCGCAUAAUGAGAUGUCGUUCAUGUUCAAGUUCUACUUCAUCAUCCAGCUGGCUUACUGGCUGCACUGCUACCCUGAGCUGUACUUCCAGAAGACCAAGAAGGACGAGAUGUCUGCACGCAUCACCACAGCCACGCUUCCUCUCAUCUUCUUCCUCGUGUCGUACAUUCUCAACUUCUCGAGGAUAGCACUGUGCCUUUCGGUGAUGCACUACCUGGUGGAGACGGUGUUCCAUGCCUCCCGGCUGCUGCUCUUUGCCGAGCGCACCAAGGCCUCCGACUACGGGUACGCGGUGUGGAACGUGCUGUUUGUGCUGGUACGGCUGGCGUCGAUCACGCUGUCCGUGCUCACCUUCUGGUAUGGCCUGGCCCAGCAAGAAAAUGCAGCCCUGCCUAUUGGCCUGGCCACAGGCAACUUUAACACCAAGCUCAUCAGGGUGAACUGCACUGUGGCAGUGUGUCUUCUUCAGGCGUGGAUGAUGUGGAACUUUGUCAACUUCCACCUGCAACUGAGGAGGGAGCGUGCCGAGGCACAGCAGAGCUCGGGUCCGGCUGCCAAAAAGAAGGCAGUCGCUCGUAAAGACCGCAAGGCCAAGAAGGAUGAAUAACAAUUGUCCAAAUUGUCUAGAAUUCUCGAAAUGCAGUUCAUGUUACGGAGCGACCAAGCGAGCAGCGGACGAGGAUGUCAACGAACUGCCCGAGGUGGACCAGAACGCUAAAAAGGAGCUCCGUUCUCGCCACCUCGCCAGUCCCAAGGCGAAGAGGAGUUAAUGUCUGCCUCCUUAAUGAAUGUUUUUCUUUUCUUUCUUUCUCUCGGCCAUUCUCAAGCUUCUCUAUCUUUUAUUCUUUCCUUUCACUCUACGUUCUCACACUGGACUCCCUCUUUGAUUUGAACUUUUUCCUGGCUGCAAGAGUUGUUCCUUUUGGUUGUUCUUUACUUCCAAGGCCUCAUGAAAAUCUGUUGUUCUUUCACUUGACACAGUCCAGAAGCAAGGUUCUGUCAGUGCAAGGAAUUUCCCCAGUGAGCUGUACCAGUUUCUGAUCUCAAAACCCAUGGUGGGAACAGAAAGGGCUUUGGCUUUCUCGGCUUGUAAUGUCCAUAUUAUGACAAGAGGGUGAAACUGUCCGUGUUCCGCUCACACUUUACUGCCAAAUUUGCAAUGCAAGCAGGAACUGGACCAAUACUUACUGUAGAAGCUAGCUUGUAAGGAAGCUGGGACAAGUUGCAAAGCAAGUGAAGCCAGACAGAGUAGGUGGGGCUCUCGUACUCACCCGCAUAUAUUUUCUAUGUGAGUAUGUUGGCAGUGCGGUGCGACAAGAAUUGAGCUUGACUGUCUCAUAUUCUUAGUUUACCGACUGACUACACCUCUGGUGUUUCAGUUAUAGACGUUUUGUAAUUACAGUCACUGUAGGAAGGGUGCAUAAGUUGGCCUGCAGCAGUACGACACUGCCCUAAAGCCAGGUACACUUGUCACAAGUGUAAUACGUGAGUACCUUGAACAUAGCAUUGUUUUAAAUUUGAAUGAAAGAAGUACGCCACACGGGCAAAGUCUUUCACUGCUUAGCACAUUUACUCUUAUUGGUCCAUUACAAGGUGAACAAAGGAAAACGGAGAAAGCGCUGUAGUGCCGUCUCGUAUGGCCUCUUGAACAACUGAACGAACUAGGGCACUGGGUGUGGCCCAAGAAGUGACAACCAAGACACACAUACUUAGGCCUUCCACAGCGAUUUUGUAUGUGGCAUCCUCCUUUGCCAUUUUGUUGUUUUAUGCUUCCUCACGGUAUCACCAUGGUGACAAGGAAGAGCACCCACAAAUUGUUCACUCACGCAUACUUCCAGCAUACAUGCCUUUCCACUAACGCCCAGUUAUUGCACGAAGCCACUGAAAGGUUCACCCUUGAACUGUGCUUGAUCAGGGAAGUUUCUGCGGUAGCCACAAAUCGAAGGGACUGUCUCUUUGGUUCUUCCAUUCACUUCCUUUUUGUCUUUAAAUUUCAAGAGGACCACAUGCUUCAUUGACGGAAGUGUCUUGUUCACUUGUUGUUGUGCAAAAGAUGUUCUUCUCACUGGCAGCACCAAUUCCUUCUUUCUUUCCUUCUUGGUAACUGUAUUCUUUGUCUUCUGCCUUUCCCACUUUAUUUUCCUCUUGUAAAACCUGGUGAUCUGCUACACAAUUGGUUUCAUACCUACUAGGCAAUGUUACCAAUGCACACAUUCAUGGUGCAGCCAUGCAUUGUAUAAUGUAAUGAAAUGCUAAAUAGACUGAUGCCACAAAAUAUGACUUGACUGUCAUGCAGAGGCAAGCCUUUCACAGAUCUGAACCAUUGAAGAAGUGGAGUGACAUCUAGCGACCAGCAGCCAUAGCACACUUUGUAGCAGGCCCGUAGCCAGGGGGUGGGGCCAGGGCCCUCCCCGAAAUUUUUAUGAUACAUGGUGUUUUACCGAAAAUAAAUAACGAAAAUAGGCGUUUUUCUCAAAUAGUCAAGGCUUUCAGCAAGUGGCCCCCCCCCCCCCCGAAAAAAAUUCCUGGCUACAGGCCUGCUUUGUAGUAACGUUUCUGCCCAGAACAUGGUAAUUGUAUGUGCUGGAACCACAACGGUGCAAAUGUUAGUUCUAGCAUAUGAAGUAGUUCUUUCAUGGAACGCAUUGCAGGUCGAUAACAACCACACUGCAAAACGAGACUGCUUAAUUUGGGCGACUUUUGCAUCAUUGCCUGCUAUGUAUGAAACGGUGCCAGCCAUUCAUCUUGUCUGCUCGAAGCGUACACACCACCCACAUGCUCCACAGAGUGAGAAUUACAAAGCCAUCUUUUCUUUGUAAUAAAAUGAAUUUUUUUUCCAUAA